rnacentral:rRNA from 1 species
GAUGAAUGCUGGCGGCGUGCCUAACACAUGCAAGUCGAGCGGCAGCGAGGGGUGCUUGCACCCUGUCGGCGAGCGGCGAACGGCUGAGUAACGCGUAGGAAUUUGCCCCAAAGUGAGGAAUAACUGCCCGAAAGGGUAGCUAAUGCCGCAUAUGGUCUUCGGAUUAAAGGAUUUAUCCGCUUUGGGAGAAGCCUGCGUUGGAUUAGGUUGUUGGUCGGGUAAUGGCCUACCAAGCCGACGAUCCAUAGCUGGUCUGAGAGGAUGAUCAGCCAGACUGGAACUGAGACACGGUCCAGACUCCUACGGGAGGCAGCAGUGAGGAAUCUUCCACAAUGGGCGAAAGCCUGAUGGAGCAACGCCGCGUGAAGGAUGAAGGCCUUCGGGUUGUAAACUUCUUUUAUGAGUGAAGAAUAUGACGGUAACUCAUGAAUAAGCACCGGCUAACUACGUG